AAUUGCCUCCAUGGCCUUUUGGAGUCCCUUGGUGUAUCUCCAGAAUAAAUUUCAAUUACUCUACAUUUCAUCAUUGUUGGAGUGGCAGGAAAAAGGAGGAACUGAUCUGAGGUGAAAAGGUAUAACAAACUAAAACUUUAAAAAAAAGCAAAGAUGGGUGAAAAGAAACCAGAAGCUUUGGACUUUGUGUAAGAUGUUCAGGAAUACCUGACUCAGCAGACCCAUCAUGUGAACAUGAUUUGUGGAUCAGUAAGUGGGGACAGAAGCAGAGGCUCUUCAGGGAGCCGGAACAGAUGAUGAUCAAAAUGACUUGAUCACCCGUCUGUUCAAGUUUCCCUGGAUGAAAACUCAGGAGUGUUAGUAGACGGGUUUGAAAGGACAUUUGAUGGGAAGCUCAAGUGUCGGUACUGCAACUAUGCCAGCAAAGGAAAAGCCCGGCUUAUUGAACAUAUUAGAAUCCACACAGGUGAGAAACCUCAUAGACGUCAUCUAUGUCCAUUUGCAUCUGCUUAUGAACGUCAUCUGGAAGCCCACAUGCAUUUCUCAUACUGGAGAAAAAUCAUACAAAUGCAAAUUAUGUUCCUUCCGCUACAGUGAUUGAAGUAACCUGUCCCAUCAUUGAAGGUGCAUAAAAUGGUACCAAUUAAAGGCACUAGGUCUUCCUUAAGCAGCAAGAAAAUGGGGGGUUUACAGAAGAAAACAAGCAAUCUGGGCUAUAGCAGAAGAGCACUAAUCAAUUUAAGUCCACCUUCCACGGUGGUUUAGAAACCAGACUACCUUAAUGAUUUUACCCAUAAGAUCUCAAAUAUCCAGACUGAUUCCUAUGAAAGUAUGGCAAAAACCACACCAACUGGUGGCCUUCCAAGGGACCCCCAAGAACUCAGGGUUGACAACCCUUUGAAUCAGCUCUCGACUCUAGCAGGACAGUUGUCCAGUUUGCCUCCUGAAAACCAAAACCCUGCAUCCCCUGAUGUAGUCCCCUGCCCCAGUAAAAAGCCUUUCAUGAUUCAGCAGCUGUCUGCCCAGGCAGUAGUCUCAGCUGUGUCAGCAAGUACUCCCCAGAGCUCCUCUCCCACAAGCCCUGAACCUCGGCCAUCACAUAGUCAAAGGAACUAUAGCCCAGUGGCAGGUCCGAGCAGCGAGCCAAGUGCCCACACGAGCACUCCUAGUAUAGGAAAUAGCCAGCCAAGCACUCCAGCCCCCGCCCUGCCGGUCCAGGACCCUCAGCUUCUGCACCACUGCCAACACUGUGAUAUGUACUUUGCAGACAAUAUCCUUUACACUAUUCACAUGGGGUGUCAUGGGUAUGAAAACCCUUUUCUGUGUAAUAUAUGUGGAUGCAGAUGUAAAAAUAAGUAUGAUCUUGCCUGUCAUUUUGUAAGAAGGCAACAUAACCAACAUUGAUUGAAAACAAUCACAUUGGGGCGGCACCUGUGGCUCAGUGGGUAAGGCGCCGGCCCCAUAUACCGAGGGUGGUGGGUUCAAACCCAGCCCUGGCAAAACUGCAACAACAACAACAAAAAUAGCUGGACAUUGUGGUGGGCACCUAUAGUCCCAGCUAUUUGGGAGGCUGCAAGAGAAUCACUUCAGCCCAGAAGUUGGAGGCUGCAGUGAGCUGUGACUUCACGCACUCUACCGAGGGUUAGUAAGUGAAAAUCUGUCUCAAAAAAAAAGAAAGAAAGAAAACAAUCAAUUUGGCUAGGCAACCAUAGCAUAGUAG